AUGACGUCAAGUCAUCAUGGCCCUUACGACCAGGGCUACACACGUGCUACAAUGGCGCAUACAAAGAGAAGCGACCUCGCGAGAGCAAGCGGACCUCAUAAAGUGCGUCGUAGUCCGGAUUGGAGUCUGCAACUCGACUCCAUGAAGUCGGAAUCGCUAGUAAUCGUGGAUCAGAAUGCCACGGUGAAUACGGUUCCCGGGCCUU
rnacentral:rRNA from 1 species